rnacentral:lncRNA from 1 species
CCCGGCGCUGUCAGUGGCAGCCUUAUGUCGUCCCUGUACACCACCUUCUCCUGCCCGGGGUACCAGGCGAUGUCCCCGAACUCGGUGGUGGCGGCAAAUGAACUCACCGUCGACUCGAAGGCGUGGUCACGCUGGACUCGGUAGGUGAUGGAUCUCUUGAACAUCGGCUCCAGCUGCAGCGUCACCUGGGAACGGCAGACUCUGCUGAGACAACGAUUCUAUCGGCUAAACUUGUUGUUUCGGUUUCCAUUCUGUAACAGCUAUAUAAUCUACCUGGGAGACGACGCCGAGGACACCGAGGGAGACCUUGGCGGCCAAGAGAUCCGGGUCGCCUUCUCGGAGGUCGACGACUCUGGCGUGGACUCCUCCGGCCGCGGCGGCGGCGGGGACUACCAACCGCAUCCCCAC